rnacentral:tRNA from 1 species
ACCCAGCUGGCUCAGUCAGUAGAGCACGUGACUCUCGAUCUCGGGGUUGUGACUUGGAGCCCCACACUGGGUG